rnacentral:rRNA from 1 species
UACAGAGGGUGCAAGCGUUGUCCGGAAUCAUUGGGCGUAAAGAGCGUGUAGGCGGCCAGAUAAGUCCGCUGUGAAAUCUCGAGGCUCAACUUCGAGCUGUCGGUGGAAACUGUCUGGCUAGAGUCCGGAAGAGGAGAAUGGAAUUCCUGGUGUAGCGGUGAAAUGCGCAGAUAUCAGGAAGAACACCCGUGGCGAAGGCGGUUCUCUGGGACGGUACUGACGCUGAGACGCGAAAGCGUGGGGAGCGAACAGG